UGUGAAAGAUAUUCUUGUAGA
rnacentral:piRNA from 1 species